CACCACCACCGUAUUACUAUCAUUCACCGCCGCCGCCGGUGAAAUCCCCUCCCCCUCCUUAUGUUUACCACUCUCCUCCUCCUCCGGUGAAGUCUCCUCCACCUCCUUAUGUAUACCACUCUCCUCCUCCUCCGGUAAAGUCUCCUCCACCGCCAUAUUACUACCACUCUCCUCCUCCUCCGGUGAAGUCUCCUCCACCACCAUAUUAUUAUCACUCUCCACCACCACCAGUGAAAUCUCCUCCUCCUCCUUACUAUUAUCAUUCUCCACCUCCUCCGGUCAAGUCUCCACCACCGCCAUAUUACUACCACUCUCCACCUCCUCCGGUAAAGUCUCCACCACCACCUUACUACUACCAUUCUCCACCUCCUCCGGUAAAGG
rnacentral:lncRNA from 1 species